rnacentral:rRNA from 1 species
ACUCUUGGACAGCCUUCUGAAAGGAAGAUUAAUACAAGAUGGCAUCAUGAGUCCGCAUGUUCACAUGAUUAAAGGUAUUCCGGUAGACGAUGGGGAUGCGUUCCAUUAGAUAGUAGGCGGGGUAACGGCCCACCUAGUCUUCGAUGGAUAGGGGUUCUGAGAGGAAGGUCCCCCACAUUGGAACUGAGACACGGUCCAAACUCCUACGGGAGGCAGCAGUGAGGAAUAUUGGUCAAUGGGCGAGAGCCUGAACCAGCCAAGUAGCGUGAAGGAUGACUGCCCUAUGGGUUGUAAACUUCUUUUAUAAAGGAAUAAAGUCGGGUAUGGAUACCCGUUUGCAUGUACUUUAUGAAUAAGGAUCGGCUAACUCCGUGCCAGCAGCCGCGGUAAUACGGAGGAUCCGAGCGUUAUCCGGAUUUAUUGGGUUUAAAGGGAGCGUAGAUGGAUGUUUAAGUCAGUUGUGAAAGUUUGCGGCUCAACCGUAAAAUUGCAGUUGAUACUGGAUAUCUUGAGUGCAGUUGAGGCAGGCGGAAUUCGUGGUGUAGCGGUGAAAUGCUUAGAUAUCACGAAGAACUCCGAUUGCGAAGGCAGCCUGCUAAGCUGCAACUGACAUUGAGGCUCGAAAGUGUGGGUAUCAAACAGGAUUAGAUACCCUGGUAGUCCACACGGCAAACGA